rnacentral:lncRNA from 1 species
UCUAUCUGUGUUAAUUGGAAAUGAUUUAGAAAAAAGGUUGACAGAAACCCAUGUUCAUCCACUCAUCGAUGGUUUAUUAAAUAUGCAUUGGAACAUCAACAACUUUAUGAACGCUUAUAGCUCCUUAUAACACGUCAUAGCUCCUUAUAACACAUCAUAGCUUCUUAAAACACAUCAUAGGUUAUAACGUCAUAGCUCCGUAUAACACGUCAUUUCUAGUUAUAAUACGUCAUAGGUUAUAACACAUCAUAGCUCCUUAUAACACAUCAUAGCUUCUUAAAACACGUCAAAGCUUCUCCUUAUAACACGUCAUAGCGCCUUAUAACACGUUAUAGCUCCUUAUAACACGUCAUAGCCCCUUAUAACACACUGUGCAGGUCCUUCUCUGUGAAGGGGAGAGAAGGGAUGGAGAGGGUGUGAAGGCUGGUGCUGGGGUGUCUUGAUGAUGAAGAUGAUGUGAAGGCUGGUGCUGGGGUGUCUUAAUGAUGAUGAUGAUGAAGAGGGGUCCUCCUCACCUCUCAGCUGAUGUGUGGUGCUGAACGUUUUGGUUUAAAAUGGCUGCCGGGGGGGGGCAUCAGAGCCUUCUAUUGCCAUAAAGGGCCCUGGGUGUCGUCGUCCCCCAGGUGGGUGUAACUGCUAUCUACAGGUGGUUGGGGUGAGACUCCUCCGCCUCCAUUAUAAUACAAAGCCGACUGAGCAGAGGAACAACACUGCAUUAUAAACCCCUUAUGAACUGUUAUAGCAUAGAGAUUGAUUGACAUUAGCUGUAAAGUCACCAGAUACUUCCGCCGUCCAGCCCAAUGCUCGCUGGGAGAUGUUAGCCGGGGGAGCAGUGAAGCAGCCAGCAGCUGGUCUGUGGUGGGUUACUGAUCAGGACCAAGCUGAUACAGUAUUAUUGAUUAUUGAUUGGCAGACACCAGAGACAACAUGAACAUAGACUCUCUCCCCCCUUUGAGAGAGUCAGAGCAGAGCAGGGUGAAGCUGCCUCUAGACUCUACAGGCACCGAUCUAAAGGUCACUUCCUGUCCUGUCAGGUUGACUGAUCCUAGGUCAGUUCUACAGGGCCAGAGUUAGUAAGCACUACAGUGCUGUCCUGUCAGGUUAACUGAUCCUAGGUCAGUUCUACAGGGCCAGAGUUAGUAAGCACUACAGUGCUGUCCUGUCAGGUUAACUGAUCCUAGGUCAGUUCUACAGGACCAGAGUUAGUAUGACGUUGUCCCCUGAUCGCUCAAUGUUCUGCUUGUUGAUUGGCCACAAUUAGACAGUUCUGCUUGUUGAUUGGCCACAAUUAGACAGUUCUGCUUGUUGAUUGGACACAAUUAGACAGUUCUGCUUGUUGAUUGGCCUCAAUUAGACAGUUCUGCUUGUUGAUUGGCCAAUUAGACAGUUCUGCUUGUUGAUUGGACACAAUUAGACAGUUCUGCUUGUUGAUUGGACACAAUUAGACAGUUCUGCUUGUUGAUUGGACACAAUGACAAUUAGACAGUUCUGCUUGUUGAUUGGACACAAUUAGACAGUUCUGCUUGUUGAUUGGCCACAAUUAGACAGUUCUGCUUGUUGAUUGGCCACAAUUAGACAGUUCUGCUUGUUGAUUGGCCACAAUUAGACAGUUCUGCUUGUUGAUUGGCCACAAUUAGACAGUUCUGCUUGUUGAUUGGCCAGUUCGACAGUUCUGCUUGUUGAUUGGCCACAGUUAGACAGUUUUGACAGGCAGCUGUAACUCGGCUGUGAUUUGUCCUGUCUAUCUGUCUGUGCCCACUGUUGGUUCUGACUCUCUCCAGAUAUCUUGUCUUGAGCCGUGACAACCUGUGGAGAAGACAAUAGGCCACAUGUUAGAGGAUAGACAGGGAUGUUACAUCUCUCUACAACACAGAGGAUAGACAGGGAUGUUACAGUCUCUCUACAACAGAGGAUAGACAGGGAUGUAUCAGCCUCUCUACAACAUAGAGGAUAGACAGGGAUGUUACAGUCUCUCUACAACAUAGAGGAUAGACAGGGAUGUUACAGUCUCUCUACAACAUAGAGGAUAGACAGGGAUGUUACAGUCUCUCUACAACAUAGAGGAUAGACAGGGAUGUUAGUCUCUCUACAACAGAGGAUAGACAGGGAUGUUAGUCUCUCUACAACAGAGGAUAGACAGGGAUGUUACAGUCUCUCUACAACAGAGGAUAGACAGGGAUGUUACAGCCUCUCUACAACAGAGGAUAGACAGGGAUGUUACAGUCUCUCUACAACAGAGGAUAGACAGGGAUGUUACAGUCUCUCUACAACAUAGAGGAUAGACAGGGAUGUUACAGCCUCUCUACAACAGAGGAUAGACAGGGAUGUUACAGCCUCUCUACAACAGAGGAUAGACAGGGAUGUUACAGGCUCUCUACAACAUAGAGGAUAGACAGGGAUGUUACAGUCUCUCUACAACAGAGGAUAGACAGGGAUGUUACAGCCUCUCUACAACAUAGAG